CAGCCGCCACGGGAAUACGUAGGGUGCGAGCGUUAAUCGGAAUUACUGGGCGUAAAGCGUGCGCAGGCGGUCCGUUAAGACAGAUGUGAAAUCCCCGGGCUUAACCUGGGAACUGCAUUUGUGACUGGCGAGCUAGAGUAUGGCAGAGGGAGGUAGAAUUCCACGUGUAGCAGUGAAAUGCGUAGAGAUGUGGAGGAAUGCCGAUGGCGAAGGCAGCCCACUGGGCCAAUACUGACGCUCAUGCACGAAAGCGUGGGGAGCAAACAGGAUUAGAUACCCCAGUAGUCCCUGUCUCUUAUAC
rnacentral:rRNA from 1 species